AUUGAACGCUGGCGGCAGGCCUAACACAUGCAAGUCGAGCGGAGCGGCGGAAGGGGGAGGAAUGCCUAGGAAUCUGCCUGGUAGUGGGGGAUAACGUCCGGAAACGGGCGCUAAUACCGCAUACUAUGAGAUGAGACUAGGUCGGAUUAGCUAGUUGGUGGGGUAAAGGCAUACCAAGGCGACGAUCCGUAACUGGUCUGGGAGGAUGAGCAGUCACACUGGAACUGAGACACGGUCCAGACUCCUACGGGAGGCAGCAGUGGGGAAUAUUGGACAAUGGGCGAAAGCCUGAUCCAGCCAUGCCGCGUGUGUGAAGAAGGUCUUCGGAUUGUAAAGCACUUUCAGCGGGGAGGCGUUACCCGCAGAAGAAGCACCGGCUAACUCCGUGCCAGCAGCCGCGGUAAUAC
rnacentral:rRNA from 1 species